CGCCGGGGGAUGAGCGUCUUACCAGACACGGUUAGACCUUCCCUCUGUCUAAUACUGUCUGGUAAAACCGUCCAUCC
rnacentral:pre_miRNA from 1 species